rnacentral:rRNA from 1 species
AUAAAUGACCAAAUCACAUUGAAAGCACCCAGUCUUGUCAGAUCUCUGAAGAUAAGCAGCGAUGAGAAUGGUGACUGCUUAGAUGGGAGACUGCCAGGGAAACACCAGGUGGUGUAGG